UGGCGUCGUUUUGGCACCAACUGCACCAUCAUUUCACUCUCCACGCAGGGUCCCCACCCCGGGGAGCCCAUCGGCGGCGUCGCAGGCCCUGGCCGCGGCGCUAUUGACUGCAGGGAUGAGGCAGAGAGAUGCUGCAGAAGAUGGUGGAUAUGGCUCUGAAGUUUCAGGCCCUCCGGCCCUAUCCAGCCUCCACUUCCUUUAGGAAUACGUUUGACCGCUGCCUUUCUUCCUUGGAGUCAUUAACUAAAACCUACAAGUCAUGGGCCAAGAUGAAGGACAAGAACUGCUAUUUAAGAAAUCCAGUGUCUAAUAUAAGCAAAGAUUGCAGUCAUUUCAUUUGUUAAGACAUAUGCCAAGCAUUGUACCUGCCACAGUUUUCAUCUUGGGAGCACUUAUUCCUGAGGUCAUCUCAUUUUCUCUGCACAACCCGAGUCAGCUGUGAUAUGAAUAUCACACUUCUCCAGGUUCAUCUGACCCCAUUCAUUUUUAGCAAUGGCAAUAGAAGGAGAGGCAAAGAAUCACGAUGCACAAUUUGGAAAGCUUUCUGAAAACAAGAAUAGGCAAUGAUUGCCAAGAACCUGAUGUUGAGCUCAUAUUUAAAAAGAACCCAAGGAAUCUUCCAGUUACAAACCUAGUUUAGUUAGAGAGGAAACAAGCAGAGCAUCGAAAAGAAGCAAACAAGAGAAAGCCUUGGAAAAGUUAUGGUUUAGUUGUAAUAAUCCUGGUGCAUUCCUGAGCCUGACAAGUAAGCAUGAGACAAAAGAUCUGAUCAUGACUUAACUCAAUUUCAGGAAAACCAGACAGCCACAUAAUGAGGCUGAAGCAAGACCACAUGGGAUUUUGAGGAAGAACCGAAUGACUCUUUCCAAACCAUCCUACGGACAAGAGAUGAAUAAGAGGAAGUAUGGGUGGCAAGUCGGGGAGAAGUGACGUUGUUAAUGUGAAAAGCUGAUAGAAGAUUAAGACAGGUCAAGAGCAUGUCAGGUCAGGGCUUGGAAGAAAAUAUACUUAGCUAAAUGUAAGAUAAUAUUAGAAAUUGAAUAAAAUGAGAAAGCAAGUCCCCAAGGAGUCCCAUAACUUAGGAUCAUGAAAAGGCAAACAGAAACUCGUAAAAGCAAUAGCGUCUAUAUCGUGGUGGGGCCUACCAGGCUGUGUUUGAUAUUUAAGCUGCCUAAAACAUCUGGAAGGAAGCUUUCACAGAUGCUAAACCAUACUUUUUUUUCCAAAUGAUUUAAUGGGCACAUGAAUUUCCUGGGUAGUUGUGUUUUUUUUUUUUUUAAUUUUUUUUAUUUAUUUAUGAUAGUCA